UACGUAGGGGGCUAGCGUUGUCCGGAAUCAUUGGGCGUAAAGCGCGUGUAGGCGGUCCGGUAAGUCCGCUGUGAAAGUCCAGGGGCUCAACCCUGGGAUGCCGGUCGAUACUGCCGGACUAGAGUUCGGAAGAGGCGAGUGGAAUUCCCGGUGUAGCGGUGAAAUGCGUAGAUAUCGAGAGGAACACCUGCGGCGAAGGCGGGUAGCUGGGCCGACACUGACGCUGAUGCGCGAAAGCCAGGGGAGCGAACGGG
rnacentral:rRNA from 1 species